ACUCCUACGGGAGGCAGCAGUGGGGAAUAUUGCACAAUGGGCGAAAGCCUGAUGCAGCAACGCCGCGUGAGGGACGACGGCCUUCGGGUUGUAAACCUCUUUUAGUAGGGAAGAAGCGUAAAAGUGACGGUACCUGCAGAAAAAGCACCGGCUAACUACGUGCCAGCAGCCGCGGUAAUACGUAGGGUGCAAGCGUUGUCCGGAAUUAUUGGGCGUAAAGAGCUCGUAGGCGGUUUGUCGCGUCUGCUGUGAAAACCCGAGGCUCAACCUCGGGCCUGCAGUGGGUACGGGCAGACUAGAGUGCGGUAGGGGAGAUUGGAAUUCCUGGUGUAGCGGUGGAAUGCGCAGAUAUCAGGAGGAACACCAAUGGCGAAGGCAGAUCUCUGGGCCGUAACUGACGCUGAGGAGCGAAAGCAUGAGGAGCGAACAGGAUUAGAUACCCUGGUAGUCCAUGCCGUAAACGUUGGGAACUGGUUGUUGGGUCUUCACUGACUCAGUAACGAAGCUAACGCGUGAAGUUGACCGCCUGGGGAGUACGGCCGCAAGGUUGAAACUCAAAUGAAUUGACGG
rnacentral:rRNA from 1 species